UUUCCAUCGGAGCUUGCUCCACCGGGAAAAGAGGAGUGGCGAACGGGUGAGUAACACGUGGGUAACCUGCCCAUCAGAAGGGGAUAACACUUGGAAACAGGUGCUAAUACCGUAUAACAAUCGAAACCGCAUGGUUUCGUUUUGAAAGGCGCUUUACGGUGCCGCUGAUGGAUGGACCCGCGGUGCAUUAGCUAGUUGGUGAGGUAACGGCUCACCAAGGCCACGAUGCAUAGCCGACCUGAGAGGGUGAUCGGCCACAUUGGGACUGAGACACGGCCCAAACUCCUACGGGAGGCAGCAGUAGGGAAUCUUCGGCAAUGGACGAAAGUCUGACCGAGCAACGCCGCGUGAGUGAAGAAGGUUUUCGGAUCGUAAAACUCUGUUGUUAGAGAAGAACAAGGGUGAGAGUAACUGUUCACCCCUUGACGGUAUCUAACCAGAAAGCCACGGCUAACUACGUGCCAGCAGCCGCGGUAAUACGUAGGUGGCAAGCGUUGUCCGGAUUUAUUGGGCGUAAAGCGAGCGCAGGCGGUUUCUUAAGUCUGAUGUGAAAGCCCCCGGCUCAACCGGGGAGGGUCAUUGGAAACUGGGAGACUUGAGUGCAGAAGAGGAGAGUGGAAUUCCAUGUGUAGCGGUGAAAUGCGUAGAUAUAUGGAGGAACACCAGUGGCGAAGGCGGCUCUCUGGUCUGUAACUGACGCUGAG
rnacentral:rRNA from 2 species